rnacentral:rRNA from 1 species
CUGCGAAUGGCUCAUUAAAUCAGUUAUCGUUUAUUUGAUAGUACCUUACUACUUGGAUAACCGUGGUAAUUCUAGAGCUAAUACAUGCUAAAAACCUCGACUUCGGGAGGGGUGUAUUUAUUAGAUAAAAAACCAAUGCCCUUCGGGGCUCCUUGGUGAUUCAUAAUAACUUAACGAAUCGCAUGGCCUUGCGCCGGCGAUGGUUCAUUCAAAUUUCUGCCCUAUCAACUUUCGAUUGUUGGGUCUUGGCCAACAAUGGUAGCAACGGGUAACGGGGAAUUAGGGUUCGAUUCCGGAGAGGGAGCCUGAGAAACGGCUACCACAUCCAAGGAAGGCAGCAGGCGCGCAAAUUACCCAAUGCCGACACGGCGAGGUAGUGACAAUAAAUACUGAUACAGGGCUCUUUUGGGUCUUGUAAUUGGAAUGAGUACAAUUUAAAUCCCUUAACGAGGAACAAUUGGAGGGCAAGUCUGGUGCCAGCAGCCGCGGUAAUUCCAGCUCCAAUAGCGUAUAUUAAAGUUGUUGCAGUUAAAAAGCUCGUAGUUGAACCUUGGGCCUGGCUGGCCGGUCCGCCUCACCGCGUGCACUGGUCCGGCCGGGCCUUUCCUCCUGGGGAACCGCAUGCCCUUCACUGGGUGUGCCGGGGAAUCAGGACUUUUACUGUGAAAAAAUUAGAGUGUUCAAAGCAGGCCUAUGCCCGAAUACAUUAGCAUGGAAUAAUAGAAUAUGACGAAAGUCUUAUUUUGUUGGUUUCUAGGACUGUCGUAAUGAUUAAUAGGGAUGGUCGGGGGCGUCAGUAUUGUCGAGCAAGAGGUGAAAUUCUUGGAUUUCGACAAGACUAACUACUGCGAAAGCAUUCGCCAAGGAUGKUUUCAUUAAUCAGUGRACGAAAGUUAGGGGAUCGAAGACGAUCAGAUACCGUCGUAGUCUUAACCAUAAACUAUGCCGACUAGGGAUCGGGCGAUG